rnacentral:rRNA from 1 species
UUGCACGCUGGCGGCAGGCCUAACACCUGCAAGUCGAGCGGAUGGAGGGAGCUUGCUCCUGGAUUCAGCGGCGGACGGGUGAGUAAUGCCUAGGAAUCUGCCUGGUAGUGGGGGAUAACGUCCGGAAACGGGCGCUAAUACCGCAUACGUCCUGAGGGAGAAAGUGGGGGAUCUUCGGACCUCACGCUAUCAGAUGAGCCUAGGUCGGAUUAGCUAGUUGGUGGGGUAAAGGCCUACCAAGGCGACGAUCCGUAACUGGUCUGAGAGGAUGAUCAGUCACACUGGAACUGAGACACGGUCCAGACUCCUACGGGAGGCAGCAGUGGGGAAUAUUGGACAAUGGGCGAAAGCCUGAUCCAGCCAUGCCGCGUGUGUGAAGAAGGUCUUCGGAUUGUAAAGCACUUUAAGUUGGGAGGAAGGGCAGUAAGUUAAUACCUUGCUGUUUUGACGUUACCAACAGAAUAAGCACCGGCUAACUUCGUG